rnacentral:lncRNA from 1 species
AGAGCCCUAUGCCCUCCUCCAACCCUCAUUAUCUGGUUCCUUUUCUCGAGAUGUAUCUGUACAAAGAUGGUAAUAUUCCUAAUAUAGAUGCUAUGCCUUGCCCGCGAAUCCUUGCGACUCACCUACCUUAUCAAUUCCUUCCAAGCACCAUUUUGGAUUGUUCCAACCGUCGAAUCAUCUACCUUUGCCGAAACCCUUUGGAUGUAUUCACCUCUUGGCUGCACUUUGUGCUGCAAAAUGGUUUUGCAUCAAGGCCAUCGGCGUCUCUUGAUGUACCUUUUGAAACAUUUUGUCAGGGCAUAUACCCGUAUGGUCCACUCUGGGACCAUUGUUUGGGAUAUUGGAAUGCAAGCUUGAAGGACCCUCAAAAAGUGUUGUUUUUGAAGUAUAAUGAUAGCUGACUUCUUAGGUCAUCCAUUUUCAGCUGAGGAAGAGGAAGCAGGUUUGGUUGAAGAGAUAGCAACGCUUUGCAGCUUCGAAAAUCUUAAGAAUUUUAACUGUAACAAAGAGGGGGAGAUACAAACUGUUUUUAGAGCUAAGCAUAAUUCCUUUUUCAGGAAAGGAGAAGUCGGUGAUUGGGUGAGUUUGGUUCCUCCAUCCAUGGCGAAACGACUCGAAAAACUGAUGCAAGAAAAGUUGGGUGAAUCAGGGUUGACACUGGAUAUCCAUGGCAAUUCUGUCUGAAGAAGAUGAAUGUUGGAUAGGACGGAUCCAUGUUUCAACAGUUUUUCCUCAAAAAACAAAGAAAACAAAAUAAAAGGCCUAACUCAUUUACGUUCAAAUUCCUAACUUUUGGAUGUGUGAUCUCACUUAAUCCAAACAAGGAUGUUUGUUUACACCACCCAUUCGACUAAUUCUUAAUCAUUAAUUGUAUUGGUUCACUGCAGACUAAAACCCCCAAAAAAAAAAAAACUUAAUUCUUUUUUUUCCCCCUAAAGUGAGAAGGGUACUACUAUCGGCAAACAAAAAUUUGCGCACAAUUCUAUGAGCAAAAUCAUUAUUUGAUUGGUCCUCUCUCGAGGGUAGGAAUAGUGGCUCCCACUUCUUCUAGACUUUUUCAAUUUACGUAGAAUUCAAACACAAUUUACAAAACCAUCUCCAGACUAGAAACCCCCAACAAGACUUAAUGAGAAGAGUACUACCAGCAUACAAAAGUUUGAGCACAAUUCUAAGAGAAAAUCAUUAGCUCCAUUUGAAGAAGUAAGAAAAAGAGUUAAACGAGUCAAAGUGGGAGUGAAAUUUUUUAUUGUACUCUAAAUUGCUCAAUUCCUUAGUUUGGAAAAGGCAAUGCAAGUAAUCUCAAUUGGUCCACAAACUUUGCCAUGAGUUAAAAUUCUUCCCAAAUAACUGGUACAAUUUUGUAGCACCCACCAUGUAUUAACUUAUUACAACUACAAUAGAAAGUACAUGUUAGUUUUUUCAAAUUUGUACGUCUAGACAUUAUUAUAUUUUGAAUUUUUGUGCUGUUGGCCGAAUGUUGACUGUUAAUAGCCACCGACAUUGUAGCUGUCCCUGCCUCUUAUCCGUAAUGUGUCAGCUAGAAAUGUUGGAAAUGUUACAUGUGCACAGAUGUGUAUGGUAAACAUGGUGCAAAACAGAACAUUUCCAUCAAAUUUAAUGAAAGGUAAAGGAUACUAACGCACAGCAAUAAGCAACAAUAACUUAAAGAUCUUGAGGGUGGGAGCUUCAAUCUUGAUCUGUAUUAGGGCAUUUGUUUUAUAUUCUUAAUUUUGCAGUUAGAACUUUUGAGCUUGAAUUUCCAAAGGUGGCGGGAUGGCAGAGAGAAAUGCCCAGAUGAAAAAACAUGCAUAACAGUCUAGUGCUCAUCUUUACGAGAUACAUUUGCCAUGGAAUUCCAUCGUCAACCCUGAUUCACCGGAAUUUUCUUAGGCCAGAUCUUUAAGUUGGUUGGCCAUGGAAGGAGUAAAGUGCCAUUGACUGAAUCUUAAGUUCGCUGAACAGUGUCACUGAUUGGACCUAAUCGAAAUAAACUUGAAGAUUUAGGCUAUAAACUUUUUAAAAUUAAGAGUUUAAAGUACAAAGUAUCCGGAAUACAAAUUUAAGAUACAAAGUGAAAAAAUGAUAAAAGUUUAAGGGUAUAAAGAGAAAUUAGUCCAAUUAGGAUUAACCCUUAAGCAAGGACCAACGCUCAUCAGAUUAAUGACUUCCUUGGAUCUUGUUUCAUUUUCCUUGUCAUUUUACGCACCAAGCCUGGCAAAUUUUAGUAAAAGAAUUUUUUUAUAUGAAAUUCGUUUAAACCGUUUUAGUAUUUUGUUAAAUAAAUUUUUUCAUCCUUUAAUUUUUAAAUAAUAACUUUAUAUCUCUUGAAGUAUUGAAAGGUAGCCUCUAACUAGCAUCUAUUAUCGUUCCUCUAACUUCUAUGCCUUGCUACCUGAUACGGAUAGUACGGCGUAUAAUGAUAAUAAUAAUAACUACUCCUAUUAAUUUUUACUGCACCAAUUUUAAAAUUUUUUGUAAUGUAAAACUUUACAUCGAGAUGCACAUUAAAGACAUACAUUUUAUGAUCACCUGACUUGUGGUACCUCGCACAUUAAAGCACCUACUUUAUUAUCUGUAGCCAGCUAUGAUCCAAUGGAAUUAAUAUAGAAUCCUUUUCCACCAAUUAAAUAUCACAAGACUUCAAGUAUGGUUAGCCUCUCACUCUCAUCGACUGUGUGAUUGAUGCACACAGAUAUUUGACAUAUGAAAGAGGGGUCUCUCUUAGUAGUAAUAUUUAUUUUGUAACUUUUAUUGAUGAUUUUGUCAGAAAAAUUUUGUGUUUUGUUUUGAAAUCUAAAUAUCAGGUUUCAUAUAUGUUCAAAGAUUUUCGUAGCAAAGUUGAGAGGGGCACUAACAAUUUCUUGAGAUAUUUUUCCCUAUCAAUUGAUAGUUAUGUGAUAUUCAAUGAUGGAGCCAAGGGGGGCAGAGGGGGCCAUGGCCCCCCCUAAGUUUUGAGAAUUUUAAUUCAUAAUAUGUAAAUAUAUGUGUAAAAUAAAAUUGGCCCCCCCAAAUUUUUACAAUUUUAGUGAGAGUUGAUAUAUAUAUAUAUAUAUAUAUAUAUAUAUAUAUAUGAAUUAGUCAUCUUUGAAUGGAAUGGCUUGCAAGCUUUUAAUUUGACAUGAAUGUCCAUUUGCCUAUUACAUUCAUUGUUUGGCUCAUAGGUUUCAACUUGCUUUAUUUGCAGCUUCUAGAGAAGUAGCUUCUGUUCACCAAUUCUUCUCCAAUUUAGUUUUCAUUAUCAGCAUUGUUACUGCAUCUAGCAAACGUAAUGACGAAUUAAAGAAGGUUCAAGCAAUUGAAGUUGCUACUAAGAUUGCUAAUGGUGAACUUGAAACUGGAAGGGGGAUUAAUCAAAUUGGCACUUUAAAACGAGUUGGAGAUACUCGUUGGGGUUCUCAUUUGGAUUCUAUUUCUAGUUUACUGAAAAUGUUCAAUGCUACUUGUGUGGUUUUAAGUAACAUUGCAGUAGAUGAAAAUCCAUACUCUCAACGUUUGUUUUCACUUUGCAUCUUAUGAAAGACAUUAUGGAAGUUACUCAUCUUCUUUGUAUAGCAUUGCAACGUAAAUCUCAAGAUAUUUUGAAUGCAAUGCAUCUUGUCCCAAGCACAACAAAGCUACUGAAGAAUUUUCGAGAUUCGGGAUGGGAUGAUUUCUUGGUGAAAGUUAAAUUAUUUUGUAAGCAACAUCAAAUUGACAUCCCAUGUAUGAAUGCUCAAUAUAUUGCAAGAUGUGGUAGAUCUCGAAGUAAUCAUGAUGAGAUUAGUGUGGAGCAUUAUUAUCGAGUGGAUAUAUUUCUUGCAACAAUUAAUUAUCAAUUGCAAAAGUUACAUAGCAGGUUUAAUGAUUAUAUCGUGGAAUUGUUUGUUUUGAUUACUGCUUUAGAUCCUAGAAAUGGAUUUAUGCUAUUCAAGAUUGAUGAUAUUUGUAAACUUGCAGAGAAGUUCUAUCCGAAUGAUUUUAUAGAGUAAGAACUAGUACAUCUAAGAAUAGAACUUCAACAUUUUGAGCUCGACAUUCCAAAUCAUCCUGAAUUGCAAGAAUUAUAUUAAUGAGUUAUGUCAAGACUUGGUGAAGACAAGAAAAUUAGUGAUAUAUCCUUUUAUUAAUAGAUUGAUUAGACUUGUUCUUACUCUUUCUGUAUCAAUUACAACUACAGAGCGGGCAUUUUCAAUUAUGAAAAUAAUCAAGACAAAGCUCCAAAACAAUAUGGAAGAUAAUUUCUUCAAUGAUUGUCUAAUUGUGUAUAUAGAAAAGGAAGUUGCUGAAAAAUUUAGCAGUGAUUCAAUCAUAGAUGAAUUUAGUUCUAUGAAAGAGCGUAGAGCUCAAUUUACUUCUAAAAAAAGAUGUUGAAAUUUCAAAGUAUGUUAACAUAACUUUUAUCUUUUUUCAAUUGAAAAUAGUUACAUUUAUAUUACAUGGUUAUAUAUAUAUAUUGCAUAGGUGACAUAUUGGAGAGCAACUUCUUAUAAUGUGCAAAUUGGAUGGUUUGUGAUGUUAUAAAAUAUUUAAUCAAAGGUUAUCUUUUUUGUUAAUUUUUGUUAUGACUGUACCGCAUAUUUAUGAAUAGACGUACCUUUAUAAUUAAAUUUAAUAUUUGAUAUUUUUAGAUGUCAUAUAUUUAAAUAGAAGAAAAUUAUUUUGAACAUAAUAUAUUAAGAUAAUUUUAUUAGGAGAAAAUUUUGGCCCCCCUAAAAAAAAAUCCUGGCUCCGUCACUGGUGAUAUUAGCUCGUUAGGACUCCUAAGAAACAAAGGCGGAACAAGUUUACUAUUUUUUUUUUUAUUUUUUCAUAUAUCGAAUGCAAAAUCAAGGUGGAGAUGUGUUAGCAUUAAAUAACAUGCAAGUGGCUUUCCAUCCUCCGUGUCUUUUGGUCAGAUGCAAUGGGGUAAGAAGCUAAAUUUCUACCGUCCUACAGUCGUACUAGUAUGAAGGCCAAGUUUUGUUUUCCUUUGAAGUCGAAAAUCAGCAAUAAUCUUGGUUCAUAUACUGUACAAAUUUCAGUCGCAAUUUUGCCUAUAUAAAGAGGGACUUUCAAAAGCCUUGGAUUGCACCACACUACAUUGCUUAAACGUCGAGAGACAGAGAGCUCAGGGAGAUUUUUCCAUUUGUCUAAAUUUAUUUAUAUUUAUUUUUUGUAUUGCCUCUUUCCUGUUUUGGAAUUGGUCCUAAACUUUGAAUGCUUCUUUAUUGGAAUUUGCUCACCUCCUCCUGCCGUAGACAUAGAUUUAAUUGACUGAACCACGUAAAUUUUUAUGUCAUCAUCUUUUAUUAUUUUCUUCACAUUUUAUUAUAAUUCUCGUUAUUAUUUUUGUGGGUUAUCAAAUUAACUUUUCGUAACAAUCCAGGCUGGAUUCUAACACGUGAAAUGUCGAAUACCCGUAAAAUGAUAUCUUCAACUGAAGCGGAGCAAAAAGAUGAUCACUUUAAAGAGUUUUUCCAGAGGUUGCAACCAAAGAAGCUUGUAGAAGGGGAGCUGCUGGCUAAUUACCAAGGCAUUUGGUUUGUUGCAGAUUUACUUCGAGCUACACUAACCUUUCAAAAGCACUUCAAAGCCAAUGACUCUGACAUUUUUUUGGCCACCAUGGCAAAAUCAGGAACCACAUGGCUGAAAGCCCUCGCCUUCAGUAUUGUUAACCGUAACAAUCAUUCAGUUGAUGAGAGCCCUUUGCUCUUCUCCAACCCUCAUUAUCUGGUUCCUUUUCUCGAGAUGCAUCUGUACAAGGAUGGUAAUAUUCCUGAUAUAGAUGCUAUGCCUUGCCCGCGAAUCCUUGCGACUCACCUACCUUAUCAAUUGCUUCCAAGCACCAUUUUGGAUUGUUCCAACAGUCGAAUCAUCUACCUUUGCCGAAACCCUUUGGAUGUAUUCACCUCUACGCGGCACUUUGUGCUGCAAAAUGGUUUUGCAUCAAGGCCAUCGGCGUCUCUUGAUGUACCUUUUGAAACAUUUUGUCAGGGCAUAUACCCGUAUGGUCCAUUCUGGGACCAUUGUUUGGGAUAUUGGAAUGCAAGCUUGAAGGACCCUCAAAAAGUGUUGUUUUUGAAGUAUGAGGAUCUAAAAAAGGAUAUCAAUAGCUCCGUGAAGAAGAUAGCUGACUUCUUAGGAUAUCCACUUUCAGCUGAGGAAGAGGAAGCAGGUUUGGUUGAAGAGAUAGCAACGCUUUGUAGCUUCGAAAAU